UGAAUACGAGAUGCUACGGCGUCGAAGCAGUCUAUGUCAUACUUCCAAGAAAAGCUUGCACUGUCAUAAACAAAUAAUGCCUGUACCAUAACCGACACAGGUGGGUAGGUAGAGUAUACUAAGGGGCGCGAGAUAACUCUCUCUAAGGAACUCGGCAAAAUGACUCCGUAACUUCGGGAGAAGGAGUGCCUUAUUUAUAAGGUUGCAAUAACAAGAUCCAAGCAACUGUUUACCAAAAACACAGGUCUCCGCUAAGUCGUAAGACGAUGUAUGGGGGCUGACGCCUGCCCAGUGCCAGGAGGUUAAAGAAGUUGGUUAGCAUCCGCGAAGCUGAUAACUGAAGCCCUGGUGAACGGCGGCCGUAACUAUAACGGUCCUAAGGUAGCGAAAUUCCUUGUCGGGUAAGUUCCGACCCGCACGAAAGGCGUAAUGAUUUGGAUACUGUCUCGGAGAGGGGCUCGGUGAAAUAGACUUGUCUGUGAAGAUGCGGACUACCUGCACCAGGACAGAAAGACCCUAUGAAGCUUUACUGUAACCUGAAAUUGAAAUUGGACUUUACUUGCGCAGUAUAGGUGGGAGGCGUUGAGAAUAUUCUUGCGGGAUUAUUGGAGCCAUCAGUGAGAUACCACUCUUGUAAUGUUAGAUUUCUAACUUUGUAUCAUUAUCUGGUCAAAGAACAGUUUCAGGCGGGCAGUUUGACUGGGGCGGUCGCCUCCUAAACGGUAACGGAGGCGCACAAAGGUUUCCUCUGAACGGGUAGAAAUCGUAUCUAGAGUGUAAAGGCAUAAGGAAGCUUGACUGUGAGACCUACAAGUCGAGCAGGGACGAAAGUCGGUCUUAGUGAUCUGACGGUGCUGAGUGGAAAGGCCGUCACUCAACGGAUAAAAGUUACUCUAGGAUAACAGGCUGAUCUCCCCCAAGAGUUCACAUCGACGGGGAGGUUUGGCACCUCGAUGUCGGCUCAUCGCAUCCUGGGGCGGUAGUACGUCCCAAGGGUUGGGCUGUUCGCCCAUGAAAGCGGUACGCGAGCUGGGUUCAGAACGUCGUGAGACAGUUCGGUCCAUAUCCGGUGUAGGCGUUAGAAUAUUGAGAGGAGCCUUCUUUAGUACGAGAGGACCGAGAAGGACAUACCUCUGGUGUACCAGUUAUCGUGCCAACGGUAAACGCUGGGUAGCUAUGUGUGGAGUGGAUAACCGCUGAAAGCAUCUAAGUGGGAAGCCCACCUCAAGAUAAG
rnacentral:rRNA from 1 species